CAAGGCCUGGCUGACGGCCCGGUUGUCCCGCGCGCUGUCGCUGCGCGAGCGGCUGUUCGAUGCGCCGUUCUACCGGCUGGUCCAUGCC
rnacentral:tRNA from 1 species